GUCCCCAGCCCUAACGCCGUCCUAACGUCGUUCCCUUUUUUAAUUUUUUUUAAUUCGAUGGUGGGCCCCGCCUUUAUUUCUUGCGCGGGCUUCACAACCACCAUAUCAUACGAAUCGACGCUCCAUUCUCUUCUCCCUGCAACUUCAUCGGCGAACCACAGAGUGGAAGCGAAGAAGACGACCAUCGACGAACCAGUGCAUCCAACAAUACUCGAUCAAGGU
rnacentral:lncRNA from 1 species